ACGGGUGCGUAACACGUGGGUAAUCUGCCCUUCGGUGGGGAAUAACCCCGCGAAAGCGGGGCUAAUUCCGCAUGACAUUCCAGGAACCCUGGUUUCCGGAUUCAAAGGCCGCAAGGUCGCCGGAGGAGGAACCCGCGCCCGAUUAGCUAGUUGGUAGGGUAAUGGCCUACCAAGGCUAUGAUCGGUAGCCGGUCUGAGAGGAUGGCCGGCCACACUGGAACUGAGACACGGUCCAGACUCCUACGGGAGGCAGCAGUGGGGAAUCUUGCGCAAUGGGCGAAAGCCUGACGCAGCGACGCCGCGUGGGGGAUGAAGCUUUUCGGAGUGUAAACCCCUUUCGACCCGGACGAAUGCCCCGCAAGGGGAGUGACAGUACGGGUAUAAGAAGCCCCGGCUAACUACGUGCCAGCAGCCGCGGUAAUACGUAGGGGGCCAGCGUUGCUCGGAAUUACUGGGCGUAAAGGGUUCGUAGGCGGUGCGGCAAGUCGGGGGUGAAAUCUUUGGGCUUAACCCAGAGGCUGCCUUCGAAACUGCCGUGCUCGAGUGCGGGAGAGGCGAGUGGAAUUGCAGGUGUAGC
rnacentral:rRNA from 1 species